AUCCUGGCUCAGGAUGAACGCUGGCGGCGUGCCUAACACAUGCAAGUCGAGCGAUCUUCUUCGGAAGAGAGCGGCGGACGGGUGAGUAACGCGUGGGUAACCUGCCCUGUACACACGGAUAACAUACCGAAAGGCAUGCUAAUACGAGAUAAUAUACUUUUAUCGCAUGGUAGAAGUAUCAAAGCUCCGGCGGUACAGGAUGGACCCGCGUCUGAUUAGCUAGUUGGUGAGGUAACGGCUCACCAAGGCGACGAUCAGUAGCCGACCUGAGAGGGUGAUCGGCCACAUUGGAACUGAGACACGGUCCAAACUCCUACGGGAGGCAGCAGAAGGG
rnacentral:rRNA from 1 species